GCCUUACAGAGGUGGCUCUUUUGGUAGACCAUGAGACUCUUAAUCUCAGGGUUGUGGGUUCAAGUCCUACGCUGAGCA